AACGCACCUUGCGCUCUAUGGCAAUCCGUAGAGCAUGCCUGUUUGAGUGCCAUGAAAUCUCCCACCCCAAGCGGUUUUUAAAUGAAACGGCUUGGCGGAUGGGGUCUGGAUGGGUGCCUAUGCCUGCGCUACCUAGCACAGGCUCGCCCGAAAUGCAUGAGCGCCUUGAGACACUUUGCCUCCGCCUCUCUGUUUGGGAGGGGGAGGCCACGCAGUGUUUUUUCUCCUGGCAUGGUGUAAUACGUCAUUUGCUAUGGCGCCUAAAGGAGGAAUGGUUGGUUGUGUCUGCGUGUGCUUCGAACUUGCCUCUGUGGCACAUCCCAAUUUCACUUAUGGUCUCAAAUCAGGUAGGAUCACCCGCUGAACUUAA
rnacentral:misc_RNA from 1 species